UCGCGUCUUACGACGGCAGUUUCACUAGAGUUCCCAGCAUUACCUGAUGGCAACUAGUGAUGGGGGUUGCGCUCGUUGCGGGACUUAACCCAACACCUCACGGCACGAGCUGACGACAGCCAUGCAGCACCUGUGUGUAGGCCCCGUAAGGGGAGGAAUCCAUCUCUGGAAGCCGUCCUACCAUGUCAAACGCUGGUAAGGUUCUGCGCGUUGCUUCGAAUUGAACCACAUGCUCCACCGCUUGUGCGGGCCCCCGUCAAUUCCUUUGAGUUUCAAUCUUGCGACCGUACUUCCCAGGUGGGAUACUUAAUGCUUUCGCUCAGACACCAACAGUGUAUCGCUGAUGUCGAGUAUCCAUCGUUUAGGGCGUGGACUAC
rnacentral:misc_RNA from 1 species